UACGGAGAGUGCAAACGUUGUUCGGAUUCACUGGGCGUAAAGGGCACGUAGGCGGCUCGGCAAAUCGGUCGUGGAAUCCCGACGCUUACCGUCGGAACGGCGGCCGAAAAUACCGGGCUCGAGGGCGUGAGGGGUCACUGGAACUCCUGGUGAAGCGGUGAAAUGCGUAGAUAUCAGGAGGAACGCCGGAGGCGAAAGCGAGUGACUGGCGCGUUCCUGACGCUGAGGUGCGAAAGCUAGGGGAGCAAACAGG
rnacentral:rRNA from 2 species